AUUGAACGCUGGCGGCAUGCCUUACACAUGCAAGUCGAACGGUAACAGGCCGCAAGGUGCUGGCGAGUGGCGAACGGGUGAGUAAUACAUCGGAACGUGCCCGAUCGUGGGGGAUAACGCAGCGAAAGCUGUGCUAAUACCGCAUACGAUCUACGGAUGAAAGCGGGGGAUCGCAAGACCUCGCGCGGACGGAGCGGCCGAUGGCAGAUUAGGUAGUUGGUGGGGUAAAGGCCUACCAAGCCGACGAUCUGUAGCUGGUCUGAGAGGACGACCAGACGCACUGGGACUGAGACACGGCCCCGACUCCUACGGGAGGAAGCAGUGGGGAAUGUUGGACAAUGGGCGCAAGCCUGAUCCAGCCAUGCCGCGUGCAGGAUGAAGGCCUUCGGGUUGUAAACUGCUUUUGUACGGAACGAAAAGGUUUCUUUUAAUACAGGGAACUGAUGACGGUACCGUAAGAAUAAGCACCGGCUAACUACGUGCCAGCAGCCGCCGUAAAAC
rnacentral:rRNA from 1 species